rnacentral:rRNA from 1 species
GUCAUUUCGCUUCUUCCCUGCUGAAAGAGGUUUACAACCCGAAGGCCGUCAUCCCUCACGCGGCGUCGCUGCAUCAGGCUUUCGCCCAUUGUGCAAUAUUCCCCACUGCUGCCUCCCGUAGGAGUCUGGGCCGUGUCUCAGUCCCAGUGUGGCCGGUCGCCCUCUCAGGCCGGCUACCCGUCGUCGCCUUGGUAGGCCAUUACCCCACCAACAAGCUGAUAGGCCGCGGGCUCAUCCUUCACCGCCGGAGCUUUUAACCCCGCCCCAUGAGGGACAGAGUGUUAUCCGGUAUUAGACCCCGUUUCCAGGGCUUGUCCCAGAGUGAAGGGCAGAUUGCCCACGUGUUACUCACCCGUUCGCCACUAAUCCACCCCGAAGGGCUUCAUCGUUCGACUUGCAUGUGUUAAGCACGCCGCCAGCGUUCGUCCUGAGCCAGGAUCAAACUNUAGGGAGGUGAU